AGAGUUUGAUCAUGGCUACAGAACGACGCUGGCGGCAGGCUUAACACAUGCAAGUCGAACGCGUGUAGCAAUACACGAGUGGCGCACGGGUGAGUAACGCGUGGAUAUCUGCCUUUUGGUUCGGAAUAACUCCGGGAAACUGGAGCUAAUACCGGAUGGUUCCUACGGGAUAAAGAUUUAUCGCCAAAAGAUGAGUCCGCGUACGAUUAGCUAGUUGGUGAGGUAAUGGCUCACCAAGGCGACGAUCGUUAGCUGGUCUGAGAGGACGAUCAGCCACACUGGGACUGAGACACGGCCCAGACUCCUACGGGAGGCAGCAGUGGGGAAUAUUGGACAAUGGGGGCAACCCUGAUCCAGCCAUGCCGCGUGAGUGAUGAAGGCCUUCGGGUUGUAAAGCUCUUUUGGCGGGGACGAUGAUGACGGUACCCGCAGAAUAAGCCCCGGCUAACUUCGUG
rnacentral:rRNA from 1 species